GACGAACCGUGCGAACGUUGUUCGGAAUCACUGGGCUUAAAGGGCUCUUAGGCGGGCUGUCAAGUCUGGGGGGAAAUGCUGCGGCUCAACCGUAGAACUGCCUUAGAUACUGACGGCCUCGAGGAAGGUAGGGGCAUGCGGAACUGUAGGUGGAGCGGUGAAAUGCGUUGAUAUCUACAGGAACUCCGGUGGCGAAAGCGGCGUGCUGGACCUUUUCUGACGCUGAGGCGCGAAAGCUAGGGGAGCAAACGGG
rnacentral:rRNA from 1 species